GUUAAACUCAAAGUGGACCUAGCUGAGAAGGACACCAAUGAGAUCUAGUUGGCAGAAGUUCUACUUGGGGCAGACAAAGCUUCAACAAAGAGUGUGAUGCCUGGAAACUCAGAAUGUAGCUAACAGCUCCAGUGACAAAGAAAAGCUUUGACAUGCACACACUGUGGACUACCUACCCAGGAAAUGCCUGCCCUCCGUUGGGAGGGAAUGACCACUUGCCGCCGAGGGAAUGAAUGAAAGCAUGGCCUCAAAGUGGAUGUGGACAGCUCUUCAGCAAGCUGCCCCUCUGAGGGCAGAGGAGUAUUUUUUGGAAUUGGGGAUGGUUUCCUUCACUACCGUCUGCAACAAGCUUUUAUGGGCGCGCCAGCAAUUCAGUGUCACAUGGCUAUUUCAGAGACCAUUUUGCCUGCAGAUGGGUAAAGCACUGAGAUUUGUCAAGUGCAGUUGUGAGCUGGCACAGCCUUCGAAGGCUCAGACCAGAGCUCCUGGUCAUCAUCCUCUACACGCAGAAGCCAAGAGGCAGACCAGCCCCAUAAAGAGUGCAAGCCUGCCUCUCCGGUACCAGAGUCCUUCGGUCAGAACCCAUGUCGCUGACGGCAGCCCGGGGUUCACACGUACGUGACAAAAGUUUAAGUGUUGGAUGGCAGAAACACACUAUUUCAUUGUCUGAGUUGGCACAGGCAAUUCUGUUCCACAGAUAGUUAAAAAUAAUGCCAGGUGCGGCAUAAAUAAAAGUUCCUAACAGA